rnacentral:lncRNA from 1 species
CUUACUUCUCAGGGCUGCAGGCUCCUCAUCUCAAAUACAUCCCACCUCCCUCCUCCUCUGAGAUGCCGCGGGAUUCAUCUCUCUCCCACAGCCAGAUUGCAAGCAGCUAGAGAGCAGGCAGGUGCUAAAUAAAUCCUCAGUGACUGAGCCCGGAGCCAAACACAUUUAUCCUUGUCAUCCAUCCAAUUCUGUGCAGCUGGGAUGGAGCCCAAGGCGCUGAGGACAACAUAAAUCUGCUCUUUGGGCCACACCCAUUUCUUCUCCAAGCAGAUGUGGUAGCCGGGAGCCAAGUCUUGGGGGCUCAGCGCUGGGCUGAGAAGGGGACGAGCUCCAGGCCCGGUGAGUUGGAAGUCUCGGAGAAAGGCUGACUGGCUUCACCUCGCCUCCGCCGCCCAGGGGCUGUGUGAGCAGGCUUUGGCAGCGAUUUCUCCAGCAGGAAGGGAUGAAGCCCUGACCAGGUUCAGAGGCAGCGGGUCAGGACCGUGCCUGGGCUCAGUCCCGCCCUGGCUCCUUCGCUUCUCGCCGCUGUGAGCCUGGGCAGUGGCUUCGCUGCUCUGGGCCCCACUUUCCUCAAGCGUUAGCAGGACAGUGGCACUCUAUUUUGGAAUCUCAUGAGAAUAAAAUGAGAUGAUGCAUGGACAACCUGCACAUAGCAAGUGCUAAUAAUUACCAUCUCUUAAGUUGGUUUGAAGGUCCAAAGCCAGUCCCUAAUUGAGUAGCCUCCGGUAGCUCAAAGUACAUGGCUGGCUUAAGGCCUGGGAUCCUUUCCCAGUGCUAACCGAGCUGCCAUAAAUGUAACUCAUGGAAAGCAAGCUCCAGGUCUGACAUGGGCGGGGCCCAUCCUGCUGAGAUACAGUACAGCCUCAAGUGGAUUUAUUAACCCAAAGAAACUAGCAGCACAACUUGUGUGCUGACACCUGCUAGUCACUUCAUACCUCACGAUCCCCUUUUCACGGAACAGGACAUCCAUCUAGGCACAGAGAGGAUAAGGUUCUGCCCAAAGCCACACAGCAUGAUAAAUGGCGGAACUUGGGUCUAAAUACUGCAUCAGAAGACAGUAUCUCUGCUCACCCCUAUUUUGUUUUGCAACCUCUGGAAUUUUCCAUUCCAUUUGUUUAACGCCACUUAUAAUGAAGGCCUCCUCAUGCAUCUUGAGAAGGCAUGUGUUCAGUGGUACAGUAUACAAACUCACUUCUCCCACAUGCUGGCCGCACUAAGUGCCACACCUUGAAAUAAUUCUGAGACAUUCUUCUUAGGAUAUUUGUGGCAUAAGGAGGAAGCCCUUGGUGCCUUCGUGCAGCUGUGUUCCUCUAGGAUAGCAAUUGUGAUAAAGACCCAGGGCCGGCUGGUGACUGAAACGGGAGUGGUUUCUACCAAAUCCUGUGAGCAAUUUAGACUCUCUUGGGUAUUCCCUAAACAGUCAUCAUCAGACUGGGAGGAGAGAGCAAAUAUUACCUGAAAUGAGGCCGCUUGGUGGAAGACAUUGGAGAAACACAGCUGGAAAGAUGGACGCUCUGCGGUUCAGAAACACUGGAGUUUCACAUUUGACCUCUGGCUUUCAUGUGAGAUGAAAGGACAGAACACUUUUCCAAAGUUAUUUUCUCUUUACAUGAGUUCAAGGGCUGUGGUGAAAGUGAGGAAUCCAAAGUCUACCCAGACUACUUCCUCUUAUUUUGAUUUAUGCCAGUGGUUUAUAACUUUUUAUAAUAAAUAUUUUGUAAACUCCCUUUAACAUCCCAGAUGAAAUUCAUGGAUUACAUAACCUCUCUAAACACAUUUUUUUUUUUUUUUGAGACGGAGUUUCAAUCUUGCUGCCCAGACUGGAGUGCAGUGGGGCGAUCUCGGC